GCUGGGCACAGUGGUGCCUGUAGUCCAGCUACUUGGGAGGCUGACACAGGAGGAUCACUUGAGUCCAUGUGUUCUGGGCUGUAGUCUCCACUAUGCCAAUAGGGUGUCUGUACUAAGUUCCUCCCAGGAGGAGCGGGGGACCACCAGAUUGCCUAAGGAGGGGCAAACUGGCACAAGUCGGAAACAGAGCAGGUGAAAACUCCUGUGCUGAUCAGUAGUGGGAUUAUGCCUGUGAGUAACCACUACACUCCAGCCUGGGCAACACAGCAAGACCCCGUCUCU
rnacentral:SRP_RNA from 1 species